GGAUUAAGUUCGUCUGAGGGUUACUGAAUUAGUUUUAGACACACCCGAAGAGGACCGAGAUUAAAGAUUCUUGCUGGACAGGUUUUUCAGAAUAAGGAAGGCGCAAGUUCCUCUUUGGUUUUAUAACUCACCAACUUCCCUAAAUGAUUUCCCACACGAAUCAUAACCAAAAAAACAGAGAACCGCUGACCAAAACCUCAGCACUUGAUCAGUGAGGCUCGUAAAUGUGAUAAACAGGCUCACAGUAAACCUGGGAGACAAAUAUGAGGUUAAAAAUAACUUUAUAGUGUCCCUGUGAGGACUGCAAGAGCAGUCGUGUAAGGUUCUGCGGUAUGUCCUCUCAGUGACCACAUGAGGGCGCUGUCUACCCGCAGAGUCACUCUUAGAAAAGAGGCGUCAGAGCCGAGUCUACAGUCUCUAAUCAUUUUUUUAAUGCAUCAAAUUAUUGAAUCACUCCGGUUUGUAUUUGUAUAUCCUCAUGUUUAUCAAUCACGCACUCAGUCAGGCUUUACUUCAUCUAUUUUUUAUUUUUUACUCAUCAAGAAGACUUAAAUUGAUCUUGGCCAUAUUAAUAUGAAACGUGCAUACUAAUAACAGCAUAAAAGGGGAAAAAAAGUCUAAAUAAAUUGAAGCAUUAAAACAAAAAUAAAAGCUGUUAGGAUAAACAGCCUUGUGUUAUAUUGGUUAUAAUAAAUUAAAGUGCCAAAAAUAUUAUUAAAAAAAUGUGAGUGAUGAGUAAUGCAAUGUAAAUAAGAUAAUAUUUAAGAUAAUACAUUAACUAAUUCAGCCAUAACUUAUUGCUUUUAAAAACCCAACACUUAUUUACAGCCAAUGUUUGCUGAAGCAACUUAUAUUAAACAGCUUUUAAGCAGCCAUGGCUUGAUGUAGAGGCAUCAUCUUCGUGUUUUAAAAAGAUGCUGCAGCAUUAUUAAACAACUUAGACUCCUGUCAGUUAAAUAGAUAGAUAGAUAUACUUUAUUGAUCUCAAACUGGGAAAUUCACAUGGUGAAGUUGGUGACAUCUUAUGGUGAAAAUCAUCACCAUAAGAUGUGCUUUUACAUAAUUUGGGGAUCUCAUCCUUCUUUUUUACCCUCUUUUUCCAUGACUAUUAGUAAAAAGUAACAACUUUAAGUGAAUUUUGAAUAAAGAGCUUUUUUAAUUUUACUUUAUUUUUAUUUCACAAGUUGGCAUUUCUACUUCAGGAAAAUCAAAAGUAACCUUACCUUGACUUAAGAAAAAAAAAAAAGUUUCAACUCUUUUCACCUCUAUUAAGGGCCUGAAGCUUUUUCACAUUUUUAAUACACCUUAGACAAAAAGAAAAAUAAGCAGUGUCUUUCACCUCAAUAACUGACUGUGCCCUCCUCUUGUUAAAGACUCAUCAUUACAUAAUAAAUCCUGAUGAUAGUGACCUCAUACUUCACAUUUCGGGAAAUCAAUAUUUCUACCUGAUCAAAUAUUUGAGUAGGACUUUAAUUUCCUCUUUGAUUUGAAGUGUUGACACUACAAUCAUCUGUUUCAGAGUCUGCACGUGCUUAUGCAACAUCAGACUGCAGAGAGUUGCUGCUGUGAACCCCACAGAUUCAGAGAAGUUCACAUUUCUACUGUGGUUGGAUACAAGUACACCCAUAGUAAUAUCUCAGACUGACCGUGACAGAGUAGCAUCUUAUAAGAUCAGAUACCUCAAAGCUGUGAUUUGUUCCUUUUGCAAAUAAGUUCAGAUAAUUACAUUAAAAAUAAUGAAUUAAAGAGGAAAAAACUCACAUAUGAAGUAGUGCCUGUGGGAGAUUUGGGUCUGGAGACACAUGAACUAACAACAGGGUUAGCAAGAGAGCACCUGAACACACCUGGAGACAUUUUUUCUGAUCAGUCAUGCUGGAAUGAUGAACUUUUGACCUUCAGGGUGCAGCAGAGAGAGACACACGGCAAAAGUGAUCUUUAGUCACUCAGCGUAAAGACCAGACUACAUUCAUUAUUAUACUAUUUAUAGGGACUUCAAUUCGAUCCAUAAUAAGAGAAAUUUGCAAACUUCUUAUUAAACAGGCAGAAACCUCGAGCAGAAACAGAAUCAGCUACAGAUACAGUAGUGACCUCUCCCUGGCCACUUUGUCCAGCUCUUCUUAGGGGACUGGAGAUGUUUCCAGGCCAGCUGUGAGUCAUAGUCUCUCCAGUGUGCCCUGGGUCUUCCCUGUGGUCUCCUACCAGUGGGACGUGCCAUGAACACUCAUGAACACAUGGUGAAACGGACAGAGAUGUAAAAUAUGUAGAUAUGCUAUAUAAUAUUCCCAUAUAUGAAAUAUAUGGAAAUAUGAGGUAAAAAAAAAAAAAAAACUACAACAUAUGUGCUAAUGUAUGGACAAACUUUACAUAAAACAAUUUAAAAUUGGAACAACAUCACAUAUGCACAUACAUAUAUGUAUGCUCCAUACACAUAUAUAGGUUUUAUAUAUUUUAACACAUAUGGCCCAUGUAUUUCCUUUUAUAUAAACAUAUAAUGCCAUAGUCAGAUUAAGUGUUUACAAUCAAUGUAUAUAACCAGCACAUAUAAUAACCUAUAUGAAUUUUUGACAUAAAUGGACUAAUCAUAGGCUACCAUAUAUGAAUUCAACAUGUAACUUUUGUAAUCUUGCAUUCUAACAUCUACUAAUGCUAUUAACAUUUUAUGUAAAAAUAUUUUUAAAGGCUAUAUCAAAGGGUUUUUGAUACAUAUAAUAAAAAUGUUUAUGGGUAUUUUGAUGUAUGUAUGUAUGACUUUGACGAGCGUCUGGUGCUGGUUUAAUCCUUGACAGUGUUGAAUAAAGCGCUGUAUUGAGGAGUUGGUGAAAUGUUUUACUGAUAGUGUUUACUGGUGACAUCACCUUUAGCAACCAAAUACUGCAUGCAGCCAGCAGGGGGAGCUCUAAAAGCUACAGCUUCACUUUAUUGGCAUUUCUGUCCAUAUUCUCAUACAGUUUAUUCCUGAACUGUUUCAUUUUUGACACUUUUUUAAAUGAAGUUUCUGAAUAAAAUGCUUCCAGAUCUACAAAAUGUUGGUUUUGCUGCUGAGAAUGCACACAUAAAUCCGAAACCAAUCGAUUGACCGUGUGACUCUGGUGCCUCGAGGGCCCACAUGGAAAUUCAGCCUCUGUCAUAUUUAUCUUAUUCAAACUUCAUCAUCAGGACUCUUUACUUCACUGAGACAGACUGUUCUGAUAUGACAGUCGGGAUCAAAUUUUUUCAUGUUUGAGUAGAUCUGAGCAGGAUCAGGACUCCAUAAUGGUAAAAAAAGCUAAAGUGAGACUGUAGUCGCCUGACAUUGCAAAAUCAUGUGGGCAUUUCAACAACUUUUAAUACAAAUGUCCUCUUUUUUAAGAUGGUGUGAAGCAGUGGAGAAGGGAUGCUGAGACAAAGAGGGCUUUUAUUUGUAAAAAAAAAAAAAAGACUGAUGUGGACUGAAGAGGCCUCAGAUCAACUUGAGGUGAACUCUGAAAGAGCAUUUUCACACAGAAAGAUGACUGUGGAUUUGGGCUCUUAUUACACUGAGUGGAUCAUUUUUUGUCCACUGUGCAGGAGACAUGAAGACGGAAACCAACAACUGUGAGUAUCUUUAAAAAACAGACUUAUAAAAUGUUAAAUCUUUCUCUUAACUGUCAGAUCUUUUGUAUGAGAGAUCGUAUGCCAGUGUGUGAACAGGUGUUUUUUUUACAACAUGCAAUAUCAUGAAAAGAUUUUGCCAGGAUGCAAUUAUACACAAACAGCACUGGCAUAAAUACAACCAUAAAAGCCACAUGUUGUCAGUGAAGAUCAGCGAGCUGGAAAAUAAUUAUUCUCUGCCAAAUGGAAAUAUGGCUGAGCUGGAAAGAUGAUCUGUGUUUUGGAAAGAUAUUCUUAGAUAACCAGUGUGAUUACCUGUUGUAAAACGUGAGUCCUGACAGCCUGGGAAACCUCAUUUACAUCCUACGUACAUCUGUAAAUGUUUGUUUAUUUCUUGAUUGGACCGAUAAAAGGACCAUGAUCGGUGUGUUUUGUAUGUUGGCAGAAUUACUUCCCUCUUCCUCAAAGCAUGACUUGGCAAGAAAACACAGAGAGCUCCCCUGAGCGUUGAGGCCAAAGAUUGUUUGCAGGAGAACGUGACUGUUUUUCAGUUGUGGGUUGUAAAGAUAAGCUGAUGACCUGAGCUGGCUUACAGUAAAGUAUAAAACAAACCCGCAAAAGCUUGUAAAUCAACACUGCUUGUGUUUACCUGCUUUGUUUUGAACCACACCUGUCAGACACUGAUAGGGCAGCAAUUGUUCCAAAAAGAGGUCACUGAAUCGAAAACCCACAUCACGGUCUGAUGUGUUUAUUAGGAUUUGAUUUAUGCGCUCUGUGGUUUAUAACUGCCAGUAUAUUUUAAUUCAUGAAGCUUCUUGUUUUAAAAGAGAAGACCAUGUUAGAUCCCAGUUACCCCGUAAUACUCCUAAUCACCAGUAGGGGUGUUGUUCAUUGGUUGCAAAGAAAAGCAUAGUCUCUGCGGCGAUGCCGUCCCCAAAUUGUAAAUGCUGAUUCAUCUUGAAGUUGGUUUGCCAAGAAACAAGCCAAGAUGUCAGGCUGAACAGGCUCCAGUGUCCAACAAACAGCUACAAUGCAGCCACCUCAUCCAACUCACCCAUACCACUUAUGCAAAUUUACAACUCCUGACCUUCAUAUUACUUCCACAUCAAUUCAGUUCUUGCCAGGUGCGUGCAAACUGGCACAGGGAUGGUAUCUGGUUAAAUCGCCUAACUGAGCUUUAACUGUGUAUGUAAACAUACACUCUUAAAAACAACCCAAUUUGGGUAGUUUCCUUGUAGGGGUGAUGCAAGUGCUUCAAAUAUGGUCUCACUUGCACAUGUCUAUGUAGUUGCCCCUGUUAGAAGCUAUGUGUGUAUUAUUUUUGUCAGGAUGUAAAAAAAAAAAAUCAAAGUAUAGUAUGAUAUAAAAAUGUCAUAGUAUUGUAUGAUACAAAAAAGGCUUUAGUAUUAUAUGAUCAAAAUGUCAAAGUGUAGUAUGAUAAAAAAGUCAUAAUAUAGCAUGAUAAAAAUGUCAUAGUAUAGAAUGUAAAA
rnacentral:lncRNA from 1 species